UUUGGUCCAAUAAGUUUUCAGAGUCAUAAUCUGAUUAUGCAGGGUUCAACUCCUGCCUCUACCU
rnacentral:tRNA from 1 species